GCUGGGCAUGGUGGUGCAUGCCUGUAAUUCCAGCUACAGGGAGGCUGAGGAAGGAGAAUCGCUUGAGCCUGGGAGGCUGAGGUUGCAGUGAGCUGAGAUCAUGCCACUGCACUCCAGCCUGGGCGACAGAGCAAGACUGUGUCUCAA
rnacentral:SRP_RNA from 1 species